rnacentral:rRNA from 1 species
UACGGAGGAUCCGAGCGUUAUCCGGAUUUAUUGGGUUUAAAGGGAGCGUAGGCGGGUUGUUAAGUCAGUUGUGAAAGUUUGCGGCUCAACCGUAAAAUUGCAGUUGAUACUGGCAUCCUUGAGUACAGUAGAGGUAGGCGGAAUUCGUGGUGUAGCGGUGAAAUGCUUAGAUAUCACGAAGAACUCCGAUUGCGAAGGCAGCCUGCUAGACUGUAACUGACGCUGAUGCUCGAAAGUGUGGGUAUCAAACAGG